UACGUAGGGUGCAAGCGUUGUCCGGAAUUAUUGGGCGUAAAGAGCUUGUAGGCGGUUUGUCGCGUCUGCUGUGAAAUUUCGGGGCUCAACCCCGAACUUGCAGUGGGUACGGGCAGACUAGAGUGUGGUAGGGGAGACUGGAAUUCCUGGUGUAGCGGUGAAAUGCGCAGAUAUCAGGAGGAACACCGGUGGCGAAGGCGGCAUCCUGGACCGGCAUUGACGCUGAGGCGCGAAAGCUAGGGGAGCAAACGGG
rnacentral:rRNA from 1 species